rnacentral:sRNA from 1 species
UCCCGACCAACCACUCCUCCGUCUCCCG